rnacentral:rRNA from 2 species
AGCUUGCUGUUUUUUUUAGCAAGUAUUUUCUGCCCGGUGAGUAAGUUAAACGGCCGCGGUACUCUGACCGUGCAAAGGUAGCAUAAUCAUUUGUUCUUUGAUUGGGGACUGGAAUGAAGGGAAGCUUGAGGGCCCAGCUGUCUCUCCUUUAUAUCUGGAAUUUGCUGUUGUUGUGAAGAAGCAGCGGUUUCUAGAAAAGACAAGAAGACCCUAUUAAGCUUUACUUGUUUCUGAGUUGGUGCUUUCUCUUGAGUAGCUGAGUGUCUUGGGGCAAGUUUGGUUGGGGCGACUGAGGAAAAUGCUUAUCUUCCUUUUGUUUUUUUGACUCGUAGGUCGAAAGUAGACCCGAGAUCUUUCGGGUGAUAGAAUUAGUUACUAUAGGGAUAACAGCGUAAUCCCUCCGGAGAGUUCUUAUUGAGGGAGGGGGUUGCGACCUCGAUGUUGACUUGCUGUUUCCUUUUUAGGUGCAGUAGCCAAAAGGGUUGGUCUGUUCGACCAUUAAAACGGC